rnacentral:rRNA from 1 species
UGGGGAAUAUUGGACAAUGGGCGAAAGCCUGAUCCAGCCAUGCCGCGUGUGUGAAGAAGGUCUUCGGAUUGUAAAGCACUUUAAGUUGGGAGGAAGGGCAGUAAGCGAAUACCUUGCUGUUUUGACGUUACCGACAGAAUAAGCACCGGCUAACUCUGUGCCAGCAGCCGCGGUAAUACAGAGGGUGCAAGCGUUAAUCGGAAUUACUGGGCGUAAAGCGCGCGUAGGUGGUUCGUUAAGUUGAAUGUGAAAGCCCCGGGCUCAACCUUGGAACUGCAUCCAAAACUGGCGAGCUAGAGUAGAGCAGAGGGUGGUGGAAUUUCCUGUGUAGCGGUGAAAUGCGUAGAUAUAGGAAGGAACACCAGUGGCGAAGGCGACCACCUGGGCUCAUACUGACACUGAGGUGCGAAAGCGUGGGGAGCAAACAGG